rnacentral:rRNA from 1 species
CCCUUAGAUGUUCUGGGCUGCACGCGCGCUACACUGAUGCGCUCAACGAGUUUAUGACCUUGCCCGGAAGGGUUGGGUAAUCUUCUUAAAACGCAUCGUGAUGGGGAUAGAUUAUUGCAAUUAUUAAUCUUCAACGAGGAAUUCCUAGUAAGCGCGAGUCAUCAGCUCGUGCUGAUUACGUCCCUGCCCUUUGUACACACCGCCCGUCACUCCUACCGAUUGAGUGAUCCGGUGAAUAAUUCGGACUGCAGCAGUGUUCGGUCACGAACGUUGCAGCGGAAAGUUUAGUGAACCUUAUCACUUAGAGGAAGGAGAAGUCGUAACA